UUGGUAUCUUAGUGGCGGACGGGUGAGUAACGCGUGGGUAACCUGCCUUACACUGGGGGAUAACACUUAGAAAUAGGUGCUAAUACCGCAUAACAGAGGGAGUCGCAUGACUUCGUCUUAAAAACUCCGGUGGUGUAAGAUGGACCCGCGUCUGAUUAGCUGGUUGGCGGGGUAGCGGCCCACCAAGGCGACGAUCAGUAGCCGGCCUGAGAGGGUGAACGGCCACAUUGGGACUGAGACACGGCCCAAACUCCUACGGGAGGCAGCAG
rnacentral:rRNA from 1 species